rnacentral:lncRNA from 1 species
GUGCUUCAUGUCUGCAGGCCUGUCCCAGGCUCUGGAGACCUUAUAGAGGAUGCUGCUGAAUUCCCUAGCUUGGCUUAUGGAGGAGCAAAAAGAUUCAGUUGAUUUCUAACCUCAUGUUUAGCCACCUGUUAUCAAAGCCUGCCCUGAGAGAUGUUCAUCUCCCAAUGUCUAUGUAGGGCCCAGGCGGCUGCAAUCGAAAUGACAGGUCAGCUCAGAGGUUAGGUUGCUGGCUGAGUGGCUAUUGUUUUCCCAGUUUCAAUUUCAUUGUCAUGACAACCCACACAAGUCAUUGUCCCGGCUGAUGCCUCUGUGUGAGGGUGUGUGAGGAACGCGUUUCGUCCCAGCUCGCUCUGCUUGACGGACGAAGAGCCAUCACUGAUCUCAGGUGGCUGCUCCUUUCUUUCCUCCAUGUGUUCACAGUGUUCUUAUUUUCUCCACCACUUACCCAGAAAUUGUUUUUGAAAAGUGUCUCAUUUCAACUGAAUUUGGCGCAGAGCAAUUGGGAACAUUGCUCGGCUGGGAUUUGCUCUCUCUCCUCAGCAGUUUUGCAGGCCGUAUCUCACUCCUGUGGGCUUCCAGAACUGCUGGGACCCCUGGCUGAGAUCAAGAGGGGCAGUAGAUGGGAACCUGCCUGUUUCACACUCGGAUCAUCCAAGGGAAGACACGAACGUUCUGCACACACAACAUGGUGUAAGCGCAACACGUGCCUUAACGUGUCUUCCAAGCUGUGUGGGACCCCCUCCUUGAAAAUUUCAAGAGACAGAUGGCUGGUGUUUCUGUUGUGCUCCAUGGCUCUGAGAAAUCCUGUGUCUGUGUAGGGCUGUGGAGAUGCCAGCUCUGGAUGGUAACAUCGGUGAGCCUGGAAGGCUUUACCUUGGAAGCAUGGGGCCUGUGUCUAUUGAACUCCUCUUUUGGGUCCUCCAGCACUUGAUGACUCUGAGAACACAUGCUCCUUUACUUCAGGAGGCAGCCUCAAAAGUGGACUGUCCUUCUUCAUUUUGGCACGGUGGUGAUUCCAUCGGGAGGGGCUUUGGGCCAGGUUUGUCCUGCUGUGGAGGCCCACAGGCAGGUCAAGCACUGAGAAACCCUGCCUGGCCUGGCAAGCCUUCUUCUCCUGAGGAUGGCUUCUCCUGUGGCUACAGGAUCAUCUAUGUUGGUCAAACAGAUGGCUAAGUGGCCUGAAAUAAUGGUACAAGACGUUUUUAAAAGAUAUUGGGAUUGCUUUGACUGAAAGAGAGGAUGUGAGGGACUGGAGUGUCAUUAAGAGUCUCAAAAUCAAGGAAGGUUUUUAUGGAGACAGGUUGAGCACUGCUGUGGGAAAUGCUGGGGUGUGACAGGUGGGUCACUGCCGUGGGAAAUGCCGAGGUGAGGCAGGUGGACCACAGCCGUGGGAAAUGCCGAGGUGAGGCAGGUGGACCACUGUUGUGGGAAAUGCCGAGGUGAGGCAGGUGGACCACUGUUGUGGGAAAUGCCAAGGUGAGGCAGGUGGACCACUGUUGUGGGAAAUGCCGAGGUGAGGCAGGUGGACCACUGUUGUGGGAAAUGCUGGGGUGAGGCAGGUGGAUCACUGCCAUGGGAAAUGCCGAGGUGAGGCAGGUGGAUCACUGUUGUGGGAAAUGCUGGGGUGAGGCAGGUGGACCACUGUUGUGGGAAAUGCCGAGGUGAGGCAGGUGGACCACUGUUGUGGGAAAUGCCGAGGUGAGGCAGGUGGAUCACUGCUAUGGGAAAUGCCGAGGUGAGGCAGGUGGACCACUGUUGUGGGAAAUGCCGAGGUGAGGCAGGUGGACCACUGUUGUGGGAAAUGCCGAGGUGAGGUAGGUGGAUCACUGUUGUGGGAAAUGCCGAGGUGAGGCAGGUGGAUCACUGUUGUGGGAAAUGCCGGGGUGAGGCAGGUGGAUCACUGCUAUGGGAAAUGCCGAGGUGAGGCAGGUGGACCACUGUUGUGGGAAAUGCCGAGGUGAGGCAGGUGGAUCACUGCCGUGGGAAAUGCCGAGGUGAGGCAGGUGGACCACUGUUGUGGGAAAUGCCGAGGUGAGGCAGGUGGACCACUGUUGUGGGAAAUGCCGGGGUGAGGUAGGUGGAUCACUGUUGUGGGAAAUGCCGGGGUGAGGCAGGUGGAUCACUGCCGUGGGAAAUGCCGAGGUGAGGCAGGUGGACCACUGUUGUGGGAAAUGCCGGGGUGAGGCAGGUGGACCACUGUUGUGGGAAAUGCCGAGGUGAGGCAGGUGGACCACUGUUGUGGGAAAUGCCGAGGUGAGGUAGGUGGAUCACUGUUGUGGGAAAUGCCGAGGUGAGGCAGGUGGAUCACUGUUGUGGGAAAUGCCGGGGUGAGGCAGGUGGAUCACUGCUAUGGGAAAUGCCGAGGUGAGGCAGGUGGACCACUGUUGUGGGAAAUGCCGAGGUGAGGCAGGUGGAUCACUGCCGUGGGAAAUGCCGAGGUGAGGCAGGUGGACCACUGUUGUGGGAAAUGCCGGGGUGAGGUAGGUGGAUCACUGUUGUGGGAAAUGCCGGGGUGAGGCAGGUGGAUCACUGCCGUGGGAAAUGCCGAGGUGAGGCAGGUGGACCACUGCCGUGGGAAAUGCCGGGGUGAGGCAGGUGGACCACUGUUGUGGGAAAUGCCGAGGUGAGGCAGGUGGACCACUGUUGUGGGAAAUGCCGAGGUGAGGCAGGUGGACCACUGUUGUGGGAAAUGCCGGGGUGAGGCAGGUGGAUCACUGCCGUGGGAAAUGCUGAGGUGAGGCAGGUGGACCACUGUUGUGGGAAAUGCCAAGGUGAGGCAGGUGGAUCACUGCCGUGGGAAAUGCCGAGGUGAGGCAGGUGGAGCACUGUUGUGGGAAAUGCCGAGGUGAAGCAGGUGGAUCACUGCCGUGGGAAAUGCCGAGAUGAGGCAGGUGGAUCACUGUUGUGGGAAAUGCCGAGGUGAGGCAGGUGGACCACUGUUGUGGGAAAUGCCGAGGUGAGGCAGGUGGAUCACUGUUGUGGGAAAUGCCGAGGUGAGGCAGGUGGAUCACUGUUGUGGGAAAUGCGGAGCUGAGGCAGGUGGACCACUGUAGUGGGAAAUGCCGAGGUGAGGCAGGUGGACCACUGUUGUGGGAAAUGCCGAGGUGAGGCAGGUGGACCACUGUUGUGGGAAAUGCCAAGGUGAGGUAGGUGGAUCACUGUUGUGGGAAAUGAUGGGGUGAGGCAGGAUCACUAUUGUGGGAAAUGCGGGGGUGAGGCAGGUGGAUCACUGUUGUGGGAAAUGCCGAGGUGAGGCAGGUGGACCACUGUUGUGGGAAAUGCCGAGGUGAGGCAGGUGUAUCACUGUUGUGGGAAAUGAUGGCGUGAGGCAGGAUCACUGUUGUGGGAAAUGCCGAGGUGAGGCAGGUGGAUCACUGCCGUGGGAAAUGCCGAGGUGAGGCAGGUGGAUCACUGCCGUGGGAAAUGCCGAGGUGAGGCAGGAUCACUGUUGUGGGAAAUGCCGAGGUGAGGCAGGUGGAUCACUGCCAUGGGAAAUGCUGGGGUGAGGCAGGUGAAUCACUGCCGUGGGAAAUGCCGAGGUGAGGCAAGUGGAUCACUGUUUUGGGAAAUGCUGAGCUGAGGCAGGUGGAUCACUGCUGUUGGAAAUGUCGGGGUGAGGCAGGUGGAUCACUGUUGUGGGAAAUGCUGAGGUGAGGCAGGUGGAUCACUGUUAUGGGAAAUGCUGGGGUGAGGCAGGUGGAUCACUGCUAUGGGAAAUGCCGAGGUGACGCAGGUGGAUCACUGUUGUGGGAAAUGCCGAGGUGACGCAGGUGGAUCACUGUUGUGGGAAAUGCUGGGGUGAGGCAGGUGGAUCACUGCUAUGGGAAAUGCCGAGGUGAGGCAGGUGGAUCACUGUUGUGGGAAAUGCCGAGGUGAGGCAGAUGGAUCACUGUUGUGGGAAAUGCUGGGGUGAGGCAGGUGGAUCACUGCUAUGGGAAAUGCCGAGGUGAGGCAGGUGGACCACUGUUGUGGGAAAUGCCGAGGUGAGGCAGGUGUAUCACUGUUGUGGGAAAUGAUGGCGUGAGGCAGGAUCACUGUUGUGGGAAAUGCCGAGGUGAGGCAGGUGGAUCACUGCCGUGGGAAAUGCCGAGGUGAGGCAGGUGGAUCACUGCCGUGGGAAAUGCCGAGGUGAGGCAGGAUCACUGUUGUGGGAAAUGCCGAGGUGAGGCAGGUGGAUCACUGCCAUGGGAAAUGCUGGGGUGAGGCAGGUGAAUCACUGCCGUGGGAAAUGCCGAGGUGAGGCAAGUGGAUCACUGUUUUGGGAAAUGCUGAGCUGAGGCAGGUGGAUCACUGCUGUUGGAAAUGUCGGGGUGAGGCAGGUGGAUCACUGUUGUGGGAAAUGCUGAGGUGAGGCAGGUGGAUCACUGUUAUGGGAAAUGCUGGGGUGAGGCAGGUGGAUCACUGCUAUGGGAAAUGCCGAGGUGACGCAGGUGGAUCACUGUUGUGGGAAAUGCCGAGGUGACGCAGGUGGAUCACUGUUGUGGGAAAUGCUGGGGUGAGGCAGGUGGAUCACUGCUAUGGGAAAUGCCGAGGUGAGGCAGGUGGAUCACUGUUGUGGGAAAUGCCGAGGUGAGGCAGAUGGAUCACUGUUGUGGGAAAUGCUGGGGUGAGGCAGGUGGAUCACUGCUAUGGGAAAUGCCGAGGUGAGGCAGGUGGACCACUGUUGUGGGAAAUGCCUAGGUGAGGCAGGUAGAUCACUGCCGUGGGAAAUGCCGAGGUGAGGCAAGUGGAUCACUGUUGUGGGAAAUGCCAAGGUGAGGCAGGUGGACCACUGUUGUGGGAAAUGCCGAGGUGAGGCAGGUGGAUCACUGUUGUGGGAAAUGCUGAGCUGAGGCCGGUGGAUCACUGACGUGGCAAAUGCCGAAGUGAGGCAGGUGGAUCACUGUUGUGGGAAAUGCUGAUGUGAGGCAGGUGGAUCACCGCCAUGGGAAAUGCUGAGGUGAGGCAGAUGGACCACUGUUGUGGGAAAUGCCGAGGUGAGGCAGGUGGAUCACUGCCGUGGGAAAUGCCGAGGUGAGGCAGGUGGAUCACUGCCGUGGGAAAUGCCGAGGUGAGGCAGGUGGAUCACUGCCGUGGGAAAUGCCGAGGUGAGGCAGGAUCACUGUUGUGGGAAAUGCCGAGGUGAGGCAGGUGGAUCACUGCCAUGGGAAAUGCUGGGGUGAGGCAGGUGAAUCACUGCCGUGGGAAAUGCCGAGGUGAGGCAAGUGGAUCACUGUUUUGGGAAAUGCUGAGCUGAGGCAGGUGGAUCACUGCUGUUGGAAAUGUCGGGGUGAGGCAGGUGGAUCACUGUUGUGGGAAAUGCUGAGGUGAGGCAGGUGGAUCACUGACGUGGGAAAUGCCGAGGUGAGGCAGGUGGGUCACUGUUGUGGGAAAUGCUGGGGUGAGGCAGGUGGAUCACUGUUGUGGGAAAUGCUGGGGUGAGGCAGGUGGAUCACUGCCAUGGGUAAUGCUGAGGUGAGCCAGGUCGAUCACUGUUGUGGGAAAUGCUGGGGUGAGGCAGGUGGAUCACUGCCGUGGGAAAUGCCGAGGUGAGGCAGGUGGAUCACUGCCGUGGGAAAUGCCGAGGUGAGGCAGGUGGAUCACUGUUGUGGGAAAUGCUGGGGUGAGGCAGGUGGAUCACUGCCAUGGGAAAUGCCGAGGUGAGGCAGGUGGAUCACUGCCAUGGGAAAUGCUGAGGUGAGGCAGGUGGAUCACUGUUGUGCAAAAUGCUGGGUUGAGGCAGGUGGAUCACUGUUGUGGGAAAUGCUGGGGUGAGGCAGGUGGAUCACUGUUGUGGGAAAUGCUGGGGUGAGGCAGGUGGAUCACUGCCGUGGGAAAUGCUGGGGUGAGGCAGGUGGAUCACUGCCGUGGGAAAUGCUGGGAUGAGGCAGGUGGAUCACUGUUGUGAGAAAUGCUGGGGUGAGGCAGGUGGAUCACUGCCGAGGGAAAUGCUGAGGUGAGGCAGGUGUAUCGCUGCUGUGGAAAAUGCUGAGCUGAGGCCCAUGUGCAUGGCCCCUAUUGUCAUGGUGGGGGUGGCGGGGAGACACAGAGUUGAGCCAGGCAAUGGGAAAGAGCAGAAAGCAGAUAUGAGAGUCUAGAGCCAGGGCUGAGCCAGCAGAACUGGGAGCAGGAGCGCUGUUAGAAGGUGGUUUGAUCUGCGGCUCAGGCCGACUGAGUUGGUCAACACUAAGAGCCAGGAGGCUUCACCUUCUUCACCUUUAUUCAUUCAACAGACAUUUUUGGAGUAUUUGCUACAUGCCAGGUACCAUUCUAGGGGCUCAUCAGUCAGUGGUGAGUGAAACAGACAAAAAUCCCAACCCCAACAGGCUUUUACCUUCUAGUGGAGGCAGCCAGGCAAUAAGCAGAUCACUUAGACACUCAGGUUGCCAGAUGGUUCCAAGUUCUGUUAGGAGAGGGGCAUAGGGAUGGUGGGGGUGCUACAGUUUAAAACAGAGGGGUCAGAUUAGCCUUUGUGAGAUGAUGCUCUAGCAAAAAACUAACAGGGGGAGGGCUGGGGUCAUGGGGACACCUGGGGGAAGAUCAAGGCAGAAGGAGCAGCUAGGGCAGCACCCAUGGGCCUGGUGUGCUGGAGACCAGGGAGGGGCCUGUAAGGCUGGAAUGGGGUGACCGAGAGGCGACCUCAGGGAUGAGGUCUGAGGUGCCAGAAACGAGAGCACGCUGGGCCUUGCAAUCUUUGUAAGCGCUUUCUAGGUGGAAUGGGAGGCCGCAGGAGGGGAUGGAACAGAGCAGGGAUAUCACCUACAGGCUCUUACAGGAUCCCUCUGGCGGCUGUUAUGAGAAUAUGUUAAAUUUGAGAUGAUCUGCUUAGAUUAAGUCCUGACUCUGCCAUUGUCACUGGGCUGAGAAGGUCUACAUGACUACCAGACUAUCUCAACUCUACUGGGAUUUGAACAUCUUUAGGAAAAUGUUGAAUUGAAUGUGUCACAAAUUCGUCAAAAUGAGCAAAGUUAUAAAGAGGCAGACUCAGCUCAAAGUGAAUAUGACCUUGCCCCACUGCCCUCCCUGGCGUUAGGGACACCAAACACUGCCAAAUCCAACCCCUGGCUCCCAUCCUAGUCAAAUUCUUCCAGGUCCCUGGAGCUUUUCUUGGGGCUCCAGAGCCCCCCAGCCACCUGCUGCGGGCUUACCAUGCAGCUCUCCACUCCACCACGAGGGGGCCUCGCUCAGGCCACUGUGCCACCCACCACCAUCUGCUAGCUUCCCGCCUUUGCUUUUCCCUCCUGCCCACCGGUGGCUCUCCGGGGAGCGUCUUCUGCCGGCCCUCUUCCGAACUGAAGGAAUCUGUGCAAAACCUCCUGGUGCCUAACUCAGAUCUGCUCAAGCUCCAGCAACUCCAGCUCCCUGACAUUAGCUGGGCCUCCAUGCCUCUUGGAGUAUCCCAACCCGAGAUUAGCAUUACCUAUCUUCUCCCUGGUUUCUCUUGGGAGUUUUCAUUCAAGAGUCCCAAGACCUGCCCAUCAGACCUAAGAAUGCUCCUCAUUGCUUCUCCCAUGAUCCCCAAACCAGGAAGGCUGGUGAUAAGCCCCAGGGCCGUGUCGCUCUUCUGCAGCCUCCCUCUCUAGGAGGAGGAAGGUACAGGAGGUAGAACAGUUCACACUCCUUCUUUCCAGCAGAUUGGCCGUGGGAGUCUCAAUGUUGUGAGAGGGGCUGAGCCUAUGUGCCCCCCACAGUCCUUCCCCCUUCAACAUUUACAGCGUCUGUGUGAUGUCACUUGUUGGUGUCCAAUGAAUGGGAACUGAUUGUCUUGUUUUGCAGGGGUGGGUCUGGAGGUGUCUUUAGGGACACUCCUAGCUGAGUUUUUUCCACACCACUGACAACCAUGCUUUGUGAGUUACCAACUGAGGAGAGAUCUGAACUGGCAGAAUCAAAGGACAUGGGUUUAGGAAAGUAUCCAAAUUACAUUGAGGGCGGUCCCACUGCUGUUCCAAACAGUCAAAUACCCCCUUUUGAUUGAAUAGGCUUGUUAUUAAAAAUGCAUUUAAGAAAAUGAAAUCAAAAGCAAAUCCCUUCAAAUAAAAUUUCAGCCUUGUCUAAAAUCCAGGGGUUUAUUUGAAAGUUCCAUCUUCUCACACUUUGCACAGAGCUGUGCUGGAGAGAUCAUAGCCCUCUGUCCCCUGAGCAUGAUGAACCAGGAAGGUAGAUAUCAAUCAGGUUUCCUGAAAUCUGUGCAGAAUGCUCCUUCCUUAGUUAUUUUCUGGGUACUGACAUGGGGGAGGUGAUUGCCUAAAUUGUGUUGCACGUCACUCCACAGAAAUUCUCAUAUCCUGUAAGGACUGAAGCUUGAACUGAUAUGGAACCCAUGACUCAGUAGCAGUUGACUGCUAGCCCCUCCUGGGCUUCUACUCCUUUGUCCGUUGCAUCCCCUAAACUCAGCCCACCUGAUUACUUCAUAUCUGUUGGCGGAUUGACUCCCUCCCUCCAGACCACUUUCAAUAAGAAGAUCUUCCUUAUUUGGCUAGGAACAAACACCACGUGGCUUCCCUAUGACCUGUAUGCUGCCUUGAUCUUCUACCCUUGGAAGAAACAGAAGGAGUGAGAGAGUUAUGUCAGCCAGGACAGCAUUAACUUUAAUCCUACUUAAUUCCAGCUCCACGAUGAAAGCCUAACUUUGAGACUUGAUUGAGGUGAGUUUAGGUCAAAUAAGAGGAGGUUUCAUUCAGCCACAUCGUCAUUUAUUCAGCCAACAUUCACAGAGCCAGGCACAGAGCUUGGGGCUGGGAGUCAGAGGAACAAUACUUGGUCCCUGCCCUUGAGGGAGACAAACAGAAGCAAAUAGGAAAUAACUGCAACAUAGGCAAUGAAUUCUGAAGUGAAAGGAAGCAGGAACCCACGCUGGGGAGAGUCACUGAUGGACAGUUGUAACUUUUAGGGAGGGGACACAGAGGCAAGGAGAAGGCAGAAGAAACUGACUCGAGUUGGAUUUUAAAGGCUGAGUAAUAAACUCACAAAAGUAAAAUUAUGGGGCCGGGCGCAGUGGCUCAUGCAUGUAAUCCCAGCACUUUGGGAUGCUGAGGUGGGCAGAUCACCUGAGGUCAGGAGUUUGAGAACAACCUGGCCAACAUGGUGAAACCCCGUCUAUCCUAAAAAUACCAAAAAAGAAAAAAAUAGCUGGACGUGGUGGCACACACCUGUGGUCCCAGCUACUCAGAAGGCUGAGGCAAGAGAAUCACUUGAACCUGGGUGGUGGAGGUUGGCAGUGAGCCAAGAUCGUGCCACUGCACUCCAGCCUGGGUGAAAGAAUGAGAUUCCGUUUCUCUCUCUUUCUGUGUGUGUGUGUGUGUGUGUGUGUGUGUGUGUGUGUGUGUAUAGUAAAAUUACGGAGUUCAUGACCUCCUGGAGAGAUGACUAGCAGGAAUUGCAAUGGAUUCUGAAAAGAUUUGGAGAAUGUGGAUAUCAUGGGACGAAGCCAAGACUUGCACCUGGAGAUGAAGGUUCAAGCUGUGUUUUCCAGGACGUCAUCCUUGGCAAGUCACUCAACAUCUCUGUGCCUUAACUUCCUCAUCUGUACAGUUGGAAAUAUAACAAUGCCUGCCCUGCUUAUCUCAUGGAGCUCCUGGGAGGAUCAAAAUUACCAGUGUAUAUGACCAUGCCAGAAAUCAGUUAAGUGUGAGGCACGUUAAAGCAUUUUAAAGCAUUAUGUUUGGAAAUAAUUUCAAGUUUACAAAAAGUUACAAAAUGAGAAAUGGUACAAAGAAUAUUCAUAUUCAUUUUAUCCAGAUUUACUUAUUGUUUGUAGUUUAACCCAUGUAUUAUUUAUUCUUAUUCUCUGUCUCAUGUAUAUAUACUAUAUGGACAUGUGGUUAUAUAUGUAUGUUUAUACAUAAUUUUUUCCUGAACCAUUUUUAUAUUAUGUAUAUUAUGGCUCUUUACCCCUGAAUACUUAACAGUGUGUUUUUCCUAAGAAUAAGAUUAUUAUAUGCCACAGUAUAGUUAACGGUUGUAUACAUUUACAUUGUUACAAAUACUCUUAUCUAAUCCAUCACCCGUAUUACAAAUUUUUUGCUUGGUCUAAUAGUACUCUUUAUAGCAUUCUCCCUUCCAGUGCAGGAUCCAGUCUAAGGGGUCAGAUAUUGCAUUUGGUCUUCAUGUCUUUUUAGCCUCCUUUAAUCUGAAACAUCCCACAGCCUUUCUUUGCCCUGUGCAAUGCUGAUAUUUGUAAAGAAUACAGUGCCUCCAUUUUUGCGUUCAUCUACUGUUUCUUCAUGUUUAAUCUGGGGUUGUGCUAACCUCCCAACUCCGGCAUUCUCUCUACUUUUACUAGUUGGACCUCAGAAUUCUACUGCAACCAAGAGCUUUCCCUUCUUUUUUCUCUUUAUUUUCUCUUUUCUUUUCUUCUUUCUCUCUUUCUUUCU